GAUGAACGCUGGCGGCGUGCCUAAUACAUGCAAGUCGAGCGAACGGACGAGAAGCUUGCUUCUCUGAUGUUAGCGGCGGACGGGUGAGUAACACGUGGAUAACCUACCUAUAAGACUGGGAUAACUUCGGGAAACCGGAGCUAAUACCGGAUAAUAUUUUGAACCGCAUGGUUCAAAAGUGAAAGACGGUCUUGCUGUCACUUAUAGAUGGAUCCGCGCUGCAUUAGCUAGUUGGUAAGGUAACGGCUUACCAAGGCAACGAUGCAUAGCCGACCUGAGAGGGUGAUCGGCCACACUGGAACUGAGACACGGUCCAGACUCCUACGGGAGGCAGCAGUAGGGAAUCUUCCGCAAUGGGCGAAAGCCUGACGGAGCAACGCCGCGUGAGUGAUGAAGGUCUUCGGAUCGUAAAACUCUGUUAUUAGGGAAGAACAUAUGUGUAAGUAACUGUGCACAUCUUGACGGUACCUAAUCAGAAAGCCACGGCUAACUACGUGCCAGCAGCCGCGGUAAUACGUAGGUGGCAAGCGUUAUCCGGAAUUAUUGGGCGUAAAGCGCGCGUAGGCGGUUUUUUAAGUCUGAUGUGAAAGCCCACGGCUCAACCGUGGAGGGUCAUUGGAAACUGGAAAACUUGAGUGCAGAAGAGGAAAGUGGAAUUCCAUGUGUAGCGGUGAAAUGCGCAGAGAUAUGGAGGAACACCAGUGGCGAAGGCGACUUUCUGGUCUGUAACUGACGCUGAUGUGCGAAAGCGUGGGGAUCAAACAGGAUUAGAUACCCUGGUAGUCCACGCCGUAAACGAUGAGUGCUAAGUGUUAGGGGGUUUCCGCCCCUUAGUGCUGCAGCUAACGCAUUAAGCACUCCGCCUGGGGAGUACGACCGCAAGGUUGAAACUCAAAGGAAUUGACGGGGACCCGCACAAGCGGUGGAGCAUGUGGUUUAAUUCGAAGCAACGCGAAGAACCUUACCAAAUCUUGACAUCCUUUGACAACUCUAGAGAUAGAGCUUUCCCCUUCGGGGGACAAAGUGACAGGUGGUGCAUGGUUGUCGUCAGCUCGUGUCGUGAGAUGUUGGGUUGAGUCCCGCAACGAGCGCAACCCUUAAGCUUAGUUGCCAUCAUUAAGUUGGGCACUCUAAGUUGACUGCCGGUGACAAACCGGAGGAAGGUGGGGAUGACGUCAAAUCAUCAUGCCCCUUAUGAUUUGGGCUACACACGUGCUACAAUGGACAAUACAAAGGGCAGCGAAACCGUGAGGUCAAGCAAAUCCCAUAAAGUUGUUCUCAGUUCGGAUUGUAGUCUGCAACUCGACUUCAUGAAGCUGGAAUCGCUAGUAAUCGUAGAUCAGCAUGCUACGGUGAAUACGUUCCCGGGUCU
rnacentral:rRNA from 1 species